AUGUCAGUCACUGCUACAACCAAAGAGACAUGUUGUGCACAGCUGUGGUUGGCAAAGAACUUGUGCACAUGCUGGUGCUUUGGAGUAGCAAACAGGCAAAGGAAUUGCAGCUGGUGCCUUGACUGACAAGGCUAAACAGUAUUGUUUUUGAGAUAAAUGUUCCAGCGGCUACUUUAUUUCAAUGGAAUCAGUAUGUGACAAUGACAAGCAUUUCUGGUUUUGCUGCCUCAGGACUGAGUUGACCACUCUCAUCACAAAGUGCUGAGAAGAGUCUGAGAUGAGGUGUGAAAUGCUACAAAGAUGAAAGAACCUGUCUCUAUUUCUGUGUUAGAGGAAAAGAAUGGUGAAAAGCAUCUCAGUUGAGCACAGGUCGUAAGACAUGUAUGAAUAGAAAUGAGUGAAACAAGAAAUACCUGUCCAUGGCAGGAUUCUAAGGUGGGAUGUGAGAGCUACUGAGAUGUGAGAACUCAGAAAAAGACAUUGGCUAUGUGAAUAGACUGAAGGAAGCAGUCUGGACCACUGGCCACAACAUGGCAGAAAGGCACGCUAGCUUUUGAUCAACCUGACAUAAAUCAAGUUGUGAAUGAACUUGCCUAUUAUUCUGCUAUGAAAUCCACUAUAUAAAUUGAACACGGAUGUUUGGAUCCAGCUCCAUGAUCUGACAUGGCAGAGCUGCAGGAUCUCUGACAUGUAGCAUUGUCUUCUAUUCACUGACUGCUCACUCUCCAAAUCACUUUGGCUUGCUCUUUCCAGCUUGUCAGUGAAUUGUUGCACUGCCUCCUGCAUCAAAAACAGCCUGUGAGCAUACUGUAGCAAGCCAGAUGCCUUGAGGUUGCUUCCUUCCUAUCCUGGGAUAUGUGUCAGCUUCACAUGGUAUACUUUAACAUCUUGAACACCUGGGAGAAUUAGAAUCUGAGAUAAAUUUAAGAUUAAAUUAGCAUCAAGGCUAUUCAUAUAUAUGUAGA